rnacentral:tRNA from 1 species
CGAUUUUCCCGAUCUAAAUAAAGUAGGUUUUACAUGAAGAAGAUUUGGCUCAGCAUGUUCUAUUCUAUACGG